GAGUUUGAUCCUGGCUCAGGACGAACGCUGGCGGCGUGCUUAACACAUGCAAGUCGAACGGGAAAUACUUCAUUGAGACUUCGGUGGAUUUGAUUUAUUUCUAGUGGCGGACGGGUGAGUAACGCGUGGGUAACCUGCCUUAUACAGGGGGAUAACAGUCAGAAAUGGCUGCUAAUACCGCAUAAGCGCACAGAGCUGCAUGGCUCAGUGUGAAAAACUCCGGUGGUAUAAGAUGGACCCGCGUUGGAUUAGCUUGUUGGUGGGGUAACGGCCCACCAAGGCGACGAUCCAUAGCCGGCCUGAGAGGGUGAACGGCCACAUUGGGACUGAGACACGGCCCAGACUCCUACGGGAGGCAGCAGUGGGGAAUAUUGCACAAUGGGGGAAACCCUGAUGCAGCGACGCCGCGUGAAGGAAGAAGUAUCUCGGUAUGUAAACUUCUAUCAGCAGGGAAGAAAAUGACGGUACCUGACUAAGAAGCCCCGGCUAACUACGUGCCAGCCGCCGCGGUAAUUC
rnacentral:rRNA from 1 species